rnacentral:rRNA from 1 species
UGGGGAAUUUUGGACAAUGGGGGAAACCCUGAUCCAGCCACCCCGCGUGUGCGAUGAAGGCCUUCGGGUUGUAAAGCACUUUUGGCAGGAAAGAAACGUCGCGGGUUAAUACCCCGCGAAACUGACGGUACCUGCAGAAUAAGCACCGGCUAACUACGUGCCAGCAGCCGCGGUAAUACGUAGGGUGCAAGCGUUAAUCGGAAUUACUGGGCGUAAAGCGUGCGCAGGCGGUUCGGAAAGAAAGAUGUGAAAUCCCAGAGCUUAACUUUGGAACUGCAUUUUUAACUACCGGGCUAGAGUGUGUCAGAGGGAGGUGGAAUUCCGCGUGUAGCAGUGAAAUGCGUAGAUAUGCGGAGGAACACCGAUGGCGAAGGCAGCCUCCUGGGAUAACACUGACGCUCAUGCACGAAAGCGUGGGGAGCAAACAGGAUUAGAUACCCUGGUAGUCCACGCCCUAAACGAUGUCAACUAGCUGUUGGGGGCCUUCGGGCCUUGGUAGCGCAGCUAACGCGUGAAGUUGACCGCCUGGGGAGUACGGUCGCAAGAUUAAAACUUAAAUGAAUUG